UACGAAGGGGGCUAGCGUUGCUCGGAAUUACUGGGCGUAAAGGGAGCGUAGGCGGACAUUUAAGUCAGAGGUGAAAUCCCGGAGCUCAACUCCGGAACUGCCUUUGAUACUGGGUGUCUUGAGUGUGAGAGAGGUAUGUGGAACUCCGAGUGUAGAGGUGAAAUUCGUAGAUAUUCGGAAGAACACCAGUGGCGAAGGCGACAUACUGGCUCAUUACUGACGAUGAGGCUCGAAAGCGUGGGGAGCAAACAGG
rnacentral:rRNA from 1 species